rnacentral:tRNA from 1 species
GAGGGGGAAGAAUAAAUCAGCAAGAGCUGCUAACUCUUGCAUCCGAGCCUCAAACCUCGGCCCCCUUA